rnacentral:rRNA from 1 species
CGGGCGGGGAUUAGUGGCGAACGGGUGAGUAACACGUGGGCAAUCUGCCCUGCACUCUGGGACAAGCCCUGGAAACGGGGUCUAAUACCGGAUAUGACUGUCCGCCGCAUGGUGGAUGGUGUAAAGCUCCGGCGGUGCAGGAUGAGCCCGCGGCCUAUCAGCUUGUUGGUGAGGUAGUGGCUCACCAAGGCGACGACGGGUAGCCGGCCUGAGACAGCGACCGACCACACUGGGACUGAGACACCGCCCAGACUCCUACGGGAGGCAGCAGUGGGGAAUAUUGCACAAUGGGCGAAAGCCUGAUGCAACGACGCCGCGUGAGGGAUGACGGCCUUCGAGUUGUAAACCUCCUUCAGCAGGGAAGAAGCGAGAGUGACGGUACCUGCAGAAGAAGCGCCGGCUAACUACGUGCCAGCAGCCGCGGUAAUACGUAGGGCGCAAGCGUUGUCCGGAAUUAUUGGGCGUAAAGAGCUCGUAGGCGGCUUGUCACGUCGGUUGAAAAAGCCCGGGGCUUAACCCCGGGUCUGCAGUCGAUACGGGCAGGCUAGAGUUCGGUAGGGGAGAUCGGAAUUCCUGGUGUAGCGGUGAAAUGCGCAGAUAUCAGGAGGAACACCGGUGGCGAAGGCGGAUCUCUGGGCCGAUACUGACGCUGAGGAGCGAAAGCGUGGGGAGCGAACAGGAUUAGAUACCCUGGUAGUCCACGCCGUAAACGGUGGGCACUAGGUGUGGGCAACAUUCCACGUUGUCCGUGCCGCAGCUAACGCAUUAAGUGCCCCGCCUGGGGAGUACGGCCGCAAGGCUAAAACUCAAAGGAAUUGACGGGGGCCCGCACAAGCGGCGGAGCAUGUGGCUUAAUUCGACGCAACGCGAAGAACCUUACCAAGGCUUGACAUACACCGGAAACGUCUGGAGACAGGCGCCCCCUUGUGGUCGGUGUACAGGUGGUGCAUGGCUGUCGUCAGCUCGUGUCGUGAGAUGUUGGGUUAAGUCCCGCAACGAGCGCAACCCUUGUCCCGUGUUGCCAGCAGGCCCUUGUGGUGCUGGGGACUCACGGGAGACCGCCGGGGUCAACUCGGAGGAAGGUGGGGACGACGUCAAGUCAUCAUGCCCCUUAUGUCUUGGGCUGCACACGUGCUACAAUGGCCGGUACAAUGAGCUGCGAUACCGUGAGGUGGAGCGAAUCUCAAAAAGCCGGUCUCAGUUCGGAUUGGGGUCUGCAACUCGACCCCAUGAAGUCGGAGUCGCUAGUAAUCGCAGAUCAGCAUUGCUGCGGUGAAUACGUUCCCGGGCCUUGUACACACCGCCCGUCACGUCACGAAAGUCGGUAACACCCGAAGCCGGUGGCCCAACCCCUUGUGGGAGGGAGCUGUCGAAGGUGGACCUGCGAGUG